rnacentral:lncRNA from 1 species
CGUAUCAAAUAUUUUAUUAUCACGAAAUAAUACGAAACGUAUUAAAUGGAUGAUGAUCUCUAUCAAUGCUUAAAUUAGUUUAAUUAAAAAUGAUAAAUAUCUUAUAAAGAUAAUAUCUAUAUAUAGUUCAAUAUCCAAUUUUCGAAGAAUCGCAUAAGAAAUUUGCAUUUUGCUAUCAUGGUGAUAUCAUAACACGUUCGACGGUCUUAAUUAUCGUAGAAUUCUCGCGACGCGAUUAUGCAACGAGAAGUGAAAGUCGCUCGAUAUUUGCGAACACGAAGUGCGGUGCACGCAAGAGAUGUCGAGAUUUCUCGCAGAAAUUCGACCUCGUCGUCCCUUCCCAACACGGCAUGUUGGCGGAAAUGAAACAAAUUGGAAUUUCGCCUGUGCAUCCGGAAGGAAGCAUACUGCCUUUUCGGAUUAUUAAAUGAGACACUGAAAUAUUCCAGUUGAUUCCUGUCUACAUGGAAACCGAGAAUUUUCUUCAGAAAGAGGUUUAAUAAAUACGAAUCAGAAUAGAAAGAGAAAAACGACGACGUGCUUAUUCGCAUCCGUAAAAUUUCAUUUCGAAAAUGUAUCCUCCUUUUAUAUACGGAAUAUUAAUAAACGUUCUCUCGUGAGCCAACGUUCCACCUCGAAAAUGAUAAAAUGGAAAAUUCCGUCAACGGAGUGUCGUCGUGUAUUCAAAGUAUAUGCUCGAGAUACGGACGAGUAUCUCGUAAGGAUGCUAAUUAAUUAAGAAUCGAGAUGGGAUGCCGGAAUAUGAAUUUCUCAGACCUUGCAGGAUUUCCCGCUUUUUAUUCGAAUUAUUUGAAAGCCGUUGCGUUUCUAUGGCGGGCUUUUCGAACGAGAGAUUCGCUUUAUAGAAAGUUCACUUGUGGAAAUGUAAUUUGGAUGGAUAUAGUACCGUGUGAUUCCACGGUAGUGUUAAUUAACACGAUUGGAUGCCACGUGGAUGAAAUUUAACCAACUUGGAUGUCUCGAUGAUUGCACGUGAACCGAGGAAUGAGAAAUCUCGAUCGAUUGAUAAUUCCAUAGGAUUAAAAUUUACAAGGCAUAGAAAUUGAAAGUUGUGCAAAAGUAUACUGAAGAGUACACACUUCCUUCUUUCCCUCGAUAAGAACAAAUAUGCGAUCGUGACUGGAAAACGCGUUCUUGGCGCGAAACGUUAUCGUUCGCUCGAAUCAACGUGUACACAAGAACCAUCAGAGUUUGGCCAUUGUCAAGGGGCAACGAUGCGUGCUCGCUACGACGCCAGACGUUCCGGAAACGUGGCAAGGAUGAAAGGAGAGAGAGAGAGAAAGUUUGGCGAGUCCAAGGAGAAGAGACUCGCCGGUGCACCGGUUCCAGAUUUACGUUCGACCCGUAAAAGACACGGGAAACGUGCUCGUGUGUGACCCAGAUCGUUAACGAGACGUUUCGUCGAUUAAAUAAUGGGAGCCCAUUGCGGAUUCGUGAGCGAAUAAAAUGGUCGAAAGUUGCUCUGAAUCGAGGCAAGCGCUUUGCUCGAUCCUUUGCUUGAUCCUCGUCGAAUAGGAAAGUUGUGCACUUUUUUUUUUAAAUAAUUUAUCGUAGAGGUCAUUGCAGGGUGAAGAGGAAACGAUGAUGACGAUGAUUUCCAGGAUAUAACUUUCUUUGGAAAGUGUGUUCUAUGUUAUCUUUUAAGAAAGGUGAAAAUUUAGGAAUUAUUGAAAGGGGUAUGAGAGGAUGUGUUUUUGCUGUAAAAUUUUAUGAUUAAUCCCUGGCCAUUCUGAUAUUUUUGCUAUAUAAAUUUUAUCAAAUAGUAUAUGCGGUGUUUGACAUGUAAUUUAUGCCAUAAUUUUUCCUUCAAUUCAGAAUAUUGAUUGAGGAUAUGUAAUCUAUCAAAUUCAAACUUAAAUGUAUUAAGAUGACUGAAAGGCAAUUAUGAAUUUGCAAGUACGAAUACGAAUAUGUGUGCAUGAAAAUAAUAUAGAGAAGAAAGUACAUAUUAGAAGAGGAAUUAGAAAGUGAAUGAAAAUCAUUAACGUUAACGUGAAAAAUUAUCGUUCACGGGUAAAGAUUCGAUUUCAAAAUUCGAUUUCAGGCUAUCCAAUUACCCGAUAUAAUGUCAUAAUUGAAGAAACGUGAAACUAAAUGAUACUCGAUAAAGACACAAGAAAUAUCGUUGUAAUAGGCGCGUUAGAUUAGUCAUGUCUUUCGAAUUACAACGUGAAAGGAAACGAAUGGUAGAUAUCAUUCAGUCGCGUGUUUAUAUUUAACGGUACAGGUAAUUACGAUCAAUACAACACCUUAUACUUGUACGUUUAACGGUACAUGUAAUUACGCGCAACAGAAAUAGUGCAUUCCUACUGUCACAGAAAAUACAAUAACUUAUAUAACUUGAAUCUCUAUAAUUCAAAAAAUUUUUAUAAGACUAAAAUUUUCUUUAUUCGUAUCGUUAUACAUUAUAUCAUAUAUCUAUAGGAGAUUCGUAACAGAUAUGGACCUAUAAAAUUUGUGAAAUAGAUAGCUAUCAGCUGAUAGGAUCAGAUAGAGAAUUUAUGGAAUUCGAAUCAGAUAUGAACAAAUAACAAAUAACUUCUUAUAUCUGUCAUCUAUGCUUCAUAAAUUUCAGUUUACGAUGUGUUGUUAAAUUAUUGAGAGUAAUAAACAGAGAAAACUAUCUGACAAUAAUAGCCAUAACGUCCAUAUAAAUUUUCUAGAUAUAAAAAAAUAUUGAAAAUCCAUUUUUACG